rnacentral:lncRNA from 1 species
UGGGAAGAGCUUAAAUUUGACAGUUUCUCAACCUCAGCACCGUCGAUAUUCGGGGCCAGAAAGUCCUCGGUUGCAGGUGCUGUGCUGUGCAGUUCAUUGUAAGGUGACUAGCAACCACCCUGGGCUCUGCCCACUCGAUGCCAGCAGCUCUGUCCCCCUCCACUUGAGCUGUGACAACCACAAAGAUCUCCAGGCAUUGCUAAAUGUCCUGGCGGGGGCGGGGUGGGGGUGGGGGCCAGGUAUGUGGACAAAAUUAGCACCACUGGAGUAUUUAAAAUUCAGUGCUCCAAGGGAAGUGGGGACGUUUCAGGCUUUCAGGUAUGAAAGCUGUGGUGCAAAUGGAGGAGGCAGCAGAAAUCUUGGGAUUUGGCAGGAUCCCAGACACAGAGACACAGGAACAUUCAUCAACAUGACGACGCAGGAAAUGAAUAUUCUCGUGGUCUGCCAGCCCUUCCAGGCCAGCCCAUGGAGUAGUGCUGCUCUAGGGAAUGACAGAGACUCAAGGUGGUAUGAACCCAGGUUUCUGAAUAUCAAUGUGGAACCGAGCUGCCUGCCAACCUGGAACACCUGCCCUGAACAGAAAAGAGAAACUGACUUCUCUUUUGAAUGGGUCAUUGCAUUGCAAGGUCUCUUAUAACAGUUUAGCUUUCCCCUGGCUACAUCAGUGGGGUUAAUCAUAUUUACCUGGCUGUCUGUGGUGAGGAUUUUAAGAGGUCUAUGAGAGGGCACCCAGUCAGGAUCUACCGGGGCUUACUCAUAUCAGCUGAAUCAAACAUGCAAAGGUUCCAUCCUCUAACUGGAAACAGUCCACUGUCUUUUCUGCUUAGGAGUUUGGACUCAGCCUCCUGUUCCUGGAGGACAGUGUAUCCUUUCAAAU